UACGGAGGGUGCAAGCGUUGUCCGGAUUUAUUGGGUUUAAAGGGUGCGUAGGCGGUCUUUUAAGUCAGUGGUGAAAUCCUCCAGCUUAACUGGAGAACUGCCAUUGAUACUGGGAGACUUGAGUACAGACGAGGUAGGCGGAAUUGACAGUGUAGCGGUGAAAUGCAUAGAUAUUGUCAAGAACACCGAUUGCGAAGGCAGCUUACUAGACUGUAACUGACGCUGAGGCACGAAAGUGUGGGGAU
rnacentral:rRNA from 1 species